AACGCUGAAGAGAGGAGCUUGCUCUUCUUGGAUGAGUUGCGAACGGGUGAGUAACGCGUAGGUAACCUGCCUUGUAGCGGGGGAUAACUAUUGGAAACGAUAGCUAAUACCGCAUAACAAUGGAUGACACAUGUCAUUUAUUUGAAAGGGGCAAUUGCUCCACUACAAGAUGGACCUGCGUUGUAUUAGCUAGUAGGUGAGGUAACGGCUCACCUAGGCGACGAUACAUAGCCGACCUGAGAGGGUGAUCGGCCACACUGGGACUGAGACACGGCCCAGACUCCUACGGGAGGCAGCAGUAGGGAAUCUUCGGCAAUGGGGGCAACCCUGACCGAGCAACGCCGCGUGAGUUAAGAAGGUUUUCGGAUCGUAAAGCUCUGUUGUAAGUCAAGAACGAGUGUUAGAGUGGAAAGUUCACACUGUGACGGUAGCUUACCAGAAAGGGACGGCUAACUACGUGCCAGCAGCCGCGGUAAUACGUAGGUCCCGAGCGUUGUCCGGAUUUAUUGGGCGUAAAGCGAGCGCAGGCGGUUUGAUAAGUCUGAAGUUAAAGGCUGUGGCUCAACCAUAGUUCGCUUUGGAAACUGUCAAACUUGAGUGCAGAAGGGGAGAGUGGAAUUCCAUGUGUAGCGGUGAAAUGCGUAGAUAUAUGGAGGAACACCGGUGGCGAAAGCGGCUCUCUGGUCUGUAACUGACGCUGAGGCUCGAAAGCGUGGGGAGCGAACAGGAUUAGAUACCCUGGUAGUCCACGCCGUAAACGAUGAGUGCUAGGUGUUGGAUCCUUUCCGGGAUUCAGUGCCGCAGUAACGC
rnacentral:rRNA from 1 species